GCCUCUAUGGAUAUCCACUCAGGAUCAGUCUGGAACAGUCCUCUUCAAGUUAAAUUUUUUUUCUAGAAAAAUUCAGCCUGCUGAAUCUGAAUGAAACCUGGAUCGCGAUCAACACUUGAUCUCUUUUCUUGACCUUCUUCUUCUCUUUUUCUCUUGCCUUUCUCUCUUGCUUUGUGCUACUACCAAACAUCAGGAACUAGCAAGGAGGGGACACUCAACAGCUGGGUGUGAGAGA
rnacentral:lncRNA from 1 species